GAUGAACGCUAGCGGCAGGCUUAACACAUGCAAGUCGAGGGGCAGCAUGACACGGAGAUUCGCCGAAGUGUUGAUGGCGACCGGCGCAAGGGUGCGUAACGCGUGAGCAACUUGCCCGUUUCUGGGGAAUAACCGGUGGAAACGCCGACUAAUACCCCAUAGUACAAUUUCGAGGCAUCUCUUAAUUGUUAAAGAAUUUCGGAAACGGAUAGGCUCGCGUGACAUUAGCUAGAUGGCGGGGUAACGGCCCACCAUGGCUACGAUGUCUAGGGGUUCUGAGAGGAAGGUCCCCCACACUGGAACUGAGACACGGUCCAG
rnacentral:rRNA from 1 species